GCCACGGUGGUCUAGCGGUUAGAACGCUGGCCUUGUAAUCCUGGGGUCUGGGGUUUGAUUCCCGGCGGUGCCC
rnacentral:tRNA from 1 species